rnacentral:lncRNA from 1 species
CCUCCCACAGUGAAUUCUUUCUUUAGCUACCCUCCAGAGGGCAUGGGUUUCCCUUUCGCUCUAGGAGGAGGUCGUGGUACAUUCUGUGAUAAUUUCAAAUGUUAUUCAAUGGUGUACUUCAGCAGUGCAAAGGAAGAUGCUGAUGAUAAAUAAAGGAAAAUAAUUCUGCUACCUUUGGAUCUUUUUUGAUUUAUUUACUAAUUUAUGGUCUAUAUGUAGUUCAUCUUAAUAUUACAUAUACGUACCAAAUGCUGUUUUGUUUGACUAACAAUACCCACUGUGAAGUGUUAGAGUUUAGCACUGAAGAAGGAAGAGUGUAUGUACCAAGAUGGAUGUUAGGUCAUUUAAUGGCUGAGGCCGGCUGGUCAUUUACUCAAGAUUGAAAACGUUACUCUUCCUCUGGCUACAUUCUCUAAAUUUCAACCACAAUCUUUUGACUUUCUUGACAUAUCCAACCCAAAGGCAGUGUAUCCAUUUAGUAACAAUAACAGUGAAUUUUUUUUUCUAAAUUUUGCCUUUGUAAAAUCAUGAAUUAUUUGAAAAUGUUGUGGAAUUACGGCAUUUUGGUCAGAAAAAAGCUUUCAUUAUUUCGUAA